UCCUCCUGUCUCAUCUUCCUGAAUGCUGGGAUUGUAGGAGUACACACCACUCCUGGCUGUCUAAUAUCCCCAUGAAAAUCUUGAGAAUCAGAGGAAUAGAGCACAUCCAUUGAGAAGUGACCCAGAAAGUAUAUUCUCACCAACCACAAACGUAUGGAAAGAAAUGACUGCCUUAAUCCUGGGAUGAUUUUUUAAAGACAAGGAGAGAAAAUAGAAGAUUGAGAGAAGAUGGAGCCAUCCGUAGCCUCUCCCCGCAGAGCAAAGGGAAAACAGAGGCGCACCUGGAGUGAAGGGCGUUAUGGCUUUAGGUUCCCUGUGCUCAGGGUUCCUCUCCUGUAGAGGGAUCCACUGCCUACCCUGGCAGCACCUGGCUCUCUACAGUGCCAGAAAUUGAGGUUGACAACUGUUGUAGACUGCACUGUAUAGGGUGAAGUUGCUGAACGCGAGGACUUCUGACUGUGCUGGAAAAGAGUAUAUACCUGGUACUCUGAAGUCAACUACAGCCGAGGCAGCCAAGGACAUGGGCUGCUGACACCAGAACAAUAAAGUGACCAAUCUUCUUACAGUUUUCCUAAUUGGCAAAAUUUACUACUUGGAGAAGUCUGAACUGACUGCUGAGGUUCUGCUCAGUUCCUGCACUUUCCUAGGAUCCCCUUUGUUUGAAAACCAAAUGAAUAUGGGCUACCUGGAGCUCUUUGUCUCAACCCCAAGGGAAUAUCAAAUUCUAUUAGAGGAUUUUGAUCCUCCUGGAGCCCUAAAAAUCAUACUACCUGU